rnacentral:rRNA from 1 species
AUGGUGCGAGCGCCCUCGCCUUCUUCUCUCCUCUACGCUCCCCUGCUCCUAGUGGCUGCGCUGGUCGGGCAGUACCCGGCGGGCUCGCUGCGGGUGGCGACGGCGCAGACCGUGGCGGCACCGGUGCCGGUGCGCGUCGGGGUGAUCAUGGACUGGGCGACCAAGGCGUCGUCGGCGGUGUCGCUGAGGCGGCGGACCGGCAUUGAGAUGGCGGUGGAGGACUACUACGCGGCGCACCCGGGGUCGGCCACCAGGGUGGAGCUCCGCUUCGGCGACUCCAAAGGGGAGGUCGUCGGCGCCGCUUCCGCCGGUGCAGGCCAUCAUCGGGCCCAAGACGUCAGCGGAGGCGGAGUUCGUCGCCCAUCUCGGCAGCCGCGCCCACGUCCCCGUGCUCUCCUACUCUGCCACCUCCCCGUCCAUCACCUCGACGCAGACGCCCUACUUCGUGCGCACGGCCGCCAACGACUCCUUCCAGGCCACCCCCGUCGCUGCCGUCCUCGCAAGCUUCGGGUGGCGCGCCGUGACCGUCCUGCACGAGGACUCCCCGUACGGCGCCGGCAUCCUCCCGGCGCUCGCCGACGCGCUCCAGAGCUUGACGGCGCGGCGAUCGUGGACCGCGUCGCCGUGCCGAGCGGCGCGGACGAAGACGCCCUCGACGCGCUGCUCUACCGCCUCAGGGCGAUGCCAAUGCGCGUGUUCGUCGUGCACGCGACGCAUGACCUCGCCGUGCGGCUCUUCCGGCGGGCGAGUAAGGCCGGGAUGAUGUCCGGCGGCUACGCCUGGGUCGCCACCGACGGCGUAGGCAGCUUCCUGGACAGGCUCGACCCUGAGGACCUCGACUUCAUGCAGGGCGUCGUCAGUCUCCGGCCUCACGUUGAGUACACGAAGCAAGUCAAGAACUUCUCUGCGCGGUUCAGGGCAAGGUUCCGGAGGGAGAACCCGGCCUCCGACGAUGACCUCCUCAACGACGCGACCGUGAUCAGGCUCUGGUCGUACGACACGGCGUGGGCGAUCGCCGCGGGCCGCGGCAGCCGAGACCUGGACCGGCUCGGCGUGUCGGCCACCGGAGCGGCGCUUCUAAGGGCGGUGCUCAACACGACUUUCGACGGGAUGGCCGGCAGGUUCAAGCUGGUAGACGGGCAGCUGCAGGUGGCGGCGUACGAGGUCCUGAACAUCAUCGGGAACGGCGCCAUGACGGUGGGGUACUGGACGCCGGAGUCCGGCAUCUCGCGGGACCUUAAAGUCGGCAGCGGCAAGGCAGCGCGGCAGCUGAAACCCAUCCUCUGGCCGGGCGAGAUGCUGUCCCCGCCGAGAGGCUGGACGGCGUCGCAGAACGAGCGGGUGCUCAAUGUCGCUGUGCCGGUGAAGCACGGGUUCAAGCAGUUCGUGGACGUCUUCUCCGAGAACUCGACGACGCCGAAGAUCACCGGCUACUGCAUCGACGUGUUCGACGCGGUGAUGAAGAAUCUUCCCUACCCGGUAAGCUACCGCUACGUGCCUUACAACGCCAGCUCGGAGUCGUACGAGAUGCUGGUGGACCAGGUGAGCGAGGGGAAGGCGGACAUGGCGGUGGGGGACGUGACGAUCAGAGCGAGCAGGAUGGACAAGGUGGACUUCACGGUGCCGUUCACGGAGUCCGGGUGGGCAAUGGUGGUGGCGACACGGCCGGACACGAGCGCCAGCAUGUGGAUCUUUCUAAAGCCACUGACCACCAGCCUCUGGCUCACCAGCCUCGCCUUCUUUUGCUUCACCGGCUUCGUGGUAUGGGUGUUCGUGGGCACCGCAUCAACCCGGAGUUCCGGGGCACGCCGUCGCAGCAAGGAGAAGCCGGAGAGCAACCUGUCGAGAUUUGUGGUGAUCAUAUGGGUGUUCGUGGUGCUGAUCCUGACGUCGAGCUACACGGCGAGCCUGACGUCGAUGCUGACGGUCCAGCAGCUCCGGCCGACGGUGACGGACGUGAAGGAGCUCCAGAGGCGCGGCCAAUACAUCGGGUACCAGGAGGGCACCUUCAUCGAGCCCAUGCUCAAGAAAAUGGGCUUCGACGAGCGGAGGAUGAAGAAGUACAGCACGGUGGAGCAGUACGCAGUGGCGCUGUCCAAGGGUUCGGCGAACGGCGGCGUGGACGCGGUGUUCGACGAGAUCCCGUACCUGAAGAUGUUCCUGUCGCAGCACUGCGACGGCUACAUGCAGGUGGGGGCCAUCUACAAGACGGACGGCUUCGGGUUCGUCUUCCCAAGGGGGUCGCCCAUGACGGGGGACGUGUCGCGGGAGAUCUUGAAGCUGGCGGAGGGGGACAAGAUGGCGCACAUCGAGAAGGCGUGGUUCGGUGAGCCCGGCACUUGCCAGAACGCGCUGGACGGCAUCGGCGGCGGCUCGUCGAACCUCAGCUUCGGCGGGCUGUUCCUCAUCACCGGCGUCGUCUCCAGCCUCAUGCUGCUGCUCUACCUCGCCAUCUUCGCGUACCGCGAGCGCGAGGAGCUCCGGGAGGCGGAGGCGAAGGCCGAGGCAGAGGCCGGCUCCGGGAGCGUGUCAGUGCGGAGGCUGCGCGCGUGGCUGCAGCACUUCGACAGGAAGGACCUCAAGUCCCCCACCUUCAAGACGUGGAACGACGGGUCCCCCAGGAACGGCAACGACUCCGCGGGCAGGACGCCAAGAUGGAACGGCGGCGCCGGCGACGCGAGCAUGCCGCCGAGGGACGGUGGGGAGGAGCAUCAACAUGCCAUGGAAGGGACCAGCCCGCUGAGCGUGUACAUCAGCUCCGAGAUGAACGCCGGCUCUUCGCCGGAGGGGACGGCGGCGUCGGAGAUCAGUGAGUCGUUCGAGCAGAGGAUCGAGGGGGCAGCAACCGCCGUGGAGGUGACAAUGCCAACGGCCUCUCAGUUGCAGCAGUAG